rnacentral:rRNA from 1 species
UAGGGAAUAUUGGACAAUGGGGGAAACCCUGAUCCAGCGAUGCCGCGUGUGUGAAGAAGGCCUGCGGGUUGUAAAGCACUUUCAGUUGGGAAGAUAGUUUGUAGGGGAAUAUCCUGCAGAUGAGACGUUACUAACAAAAGAAGCACCGGCUAACUCUGUGCCAGCAGCCGCGGUAAUACAGAGGGUGCGAGCGUUAAUCGGAAUUACUGGGCGUAAAGGGUGCGUAGGCGGUUAAAUAAGUUAGAUGUGAAAUCCCCGGGCUUAACCUGGGAAUUGCAUUUAAUACUGUAUGACUAGAGUAGAGUAGAGGGAAGUGGAAUUUCCGGUGUAGCGGUGAAAUGCGUAGAUAUCGGAAAGAACAUCAGUGGCGAAGGCGGCUUCCUGGUCUCAUACUGACGCUGAGGCACGAAAGCAUGGGGAGCAAACAGGAUUAGAUACCCCCGUAGUCCCUGAGCGGGCUGGCAAGGCGCAU